CGGGGAGCAUCGGGGUACGUGCUCCUGGGCGCAAGGAGCCCGGGCUGCGGACUACCGAGGGCCCGUAUUCCCCCCUCCCCUUCCUCCCCUCCCGGUCGUAUGUGUGAUCCUGGACAAAUAGUAACUUCUCAGUGCUUCCUGAUUGCAACCCUCAGAAGAGUCUCAACUGCGUACAAAGAGGUUUCCUCUACUCCAAUGAAAUCACAGCUCUGCAGCAGAAGUAAUGAUGGGGGUUUGGAAGUUUCAGGAAAGAAGGAUGAAGACAGACUCCGGAUGGCUGAAAGAAGAAUAAGACUCGGGAAAGAAACUGACAGGAGAGGAGCUGACAAUCUCCAUCAUGUCCAGAUUCCCAGCCUGCUACCCUAAAGACUUAGGGAAGUUUCCCCUUGGGUGAGAACUGGGUCUCUCCCUCCAGGUUGUGGUGAGUCACCUUGAUCCCAAUGGGAGAACUCCUUCACUCUGUAUUGUCUGCUGUGUAUCCUCUGGUGUAUACCUGAUUUCUGUUUUGCUUUCUGGAUUUCUCUGCUACCUGCUAUUAUUGUUCAUUGUAGAACUGGUAUUUGGUGGGAAAGGAGUAGGCUUUGAAUACAAAACUGAAGACAUCCCUAUGUUACAUGGGAGGGGACACUCCUCACUACAUAUACAUGUUUAUAUGUGUAGAUUUUUCUCCCCCAUU